GACGGACGCUGGCGGCGUGCUUAACACAUGCAAGUCGAACGGAAAGGCCCUGCUUUUGUGGGGUGCUCGAGUGGCGAACGGGUGAGUAACACGUGAGUAACCUGCCCUUGACUUUGGGAUAACUUCAGGAAACUGGGGCUAAUACCGGAUAGGAGCUCCUGCUGCAUGGUGGGGGUUGGAAAGUUUCGGCGGUUGGGGAUGGACUCGCGGCUUAUCAGCUUGUUGGUGGGGGAGUGGCUUACCAAGGCUUUGACGGGUAGCCGGCCUGAGAGGGUGACCGGCCACAUUGGGACUGAGAUACGGCCCAGACUCCUACGGGAGGCAGCAGUGGGGAAUAUUGCACAAUGGGCGGAAGCCUGAUGCAGCAACGCCGCGUGCGGGAUGACGGCCUUCGGGUUGUAAACCGCUUUCGCCUGUGACGAAGCGUGAGUGACGGUAAUGGGUAAAGAAGCACCGGCUAACUACGUG
rnacentral:rRNA from 1 species